GUACGGAAUAUCACCCGGAUGAUAACGCCGUACGACAAAAAUUCGCGCUCGACACCAUCCGCCGAUACCGUAGACUAAAUUGUUAUUGAAGUUCGAACUUCUAAGAUUUAUCGCGUUUUCCGUAGCAAAUUGUUAAUGUUCAGAACGGGGUCGGAUCGUUGAGCGCCACCGCACCGUAAUCGAUUCCUCCGUCGACCUGAUUUUUUGACCAGCUGCACCGUACGGACAAUGGCUACGGUUUGAUCGUCGUGUUGGAUCACCUACUUCAGUUACAGCCCAACACACUUUUAUACUUGUAUUCCGUCUCUGAAAAUGCUUGGUGCCAAUCGCCUGUCAUGUGGAGAGCUUUUUUUUUCAGUUUUAUACGGCGAAAAAUCGUGCUGUCAGUAAUUUUCGGCUGUUCGCUGACAUACUGUAUUGUCAGCUUCCUGUUGAUUCCGCCCAGACGUUCAGACUCAUGGCGUCCUACAAAACUGGAUCACAGUUCUUUUGUUUGGACAUCAGCUGAUAGCGAUCAGAACAGUUCUUUAUCUAUAAACUGUCGGAAUUCUGUACAGGGUAAAGAGUUUGUUGCAGAUGAUAGAGGUUAUAUAUGUCAUAGAGGUAAUCUACUAGUAAACAAUUGCUGCGGAACCACUGAAACACGUUAUAUGUGUGAUACGUGUAAUGAAGAUGGUUGUUGCACGUUGUACGAACACUGUGUGUCGUGUUGCCUCGAUCCCAAUAAGAGGAAGCUGUUGCAGACAGUGUUGGGCAAAGCUUCAGAAACAUUUCGUGUGCUUUUCUCAGUCAUCAACAACCAUUUUGAACUGUGUUUAGCGAAAUGCCGAACGAGUUCCCAGAGCGUAAAACACGAAAACACGUACCUAAAACCAAAUAAACAUUGUUACACAACAGCGGACAAAGUGCCCUGACAGGACGCGACUGCCGAUCGACAGACCGUACGAUCGGACAAUAAUAAUAUGUUGUCUUUCUUGGAAUUGUGUUAUGUUCGCGGACUAAGUGCAAUUAUUUGCAACAUUUUAACGCAUGCCGUUAAGACUAUUUAGACAGUUACGAGUAUAAUGUACUAACGAAGUUAUAUACAAAAUCGGCAAAAAAUUUACAUAUACUCUUCAGGUACCUAGUACUGAUGAAGUAUACUCGAAAGAGCUUACAUGUCAUUCAAAUCGGGUGAGUUUACAAUAGCCUAACAAACUAUUAGUUUAAAUGUUGAGUAAAGCUAUUGUUCAAGCUGUUGAAGACGAUUCAGUGAAAUGUACUAUAUAAAUUUGAUAUUAUUCGUUUAUUUUCUUUUUUAUAUCUCAAAUGUUAUGUAUGAUUAUUAUAAU